GGGCCCGUAGCUCAGCCCGGUAGAGCGGCGGGCUUUUAACCCGUAGACCAAAGAAGGGCGGAGGUCCCGGGUUCAAAUCCCGGCGGGCCCGCCA
rnacentral:tRNA from 1 species